rnacentral:rRNA from 1 species
AUGCACGGAUUAGUUAUUUAUGAUUAAGCCCCGGCUUCAUUACGUGCCAGCAGCCGCGGUAAUACGUAAGGGGCGAGCGUUGUUCGGGAUCAUUGGGCGUAAAGGGUGAGUAGGCGGAUAUGCAAGUCUAUGUGUAAAAUACCACAGCUCAACUGUGGAACUAUGCUGGAAACUGCAUGACUAGAGUCUGAUAGGGGAAGUUAGAAUUCCUGGUGUAAGGGUGGAAUCUGUUGAUAUCAGGAAGAAUACCAGAGGCGAAGGCGAACUUCUAGGUCAAGACUGACGCUGAGCCACGAAAGCA